GCUGGUGUAGCCCAAACGGCAGAGGCAGCUGACUUAAAAUCAGUCCAGUGGGGGUUCGAGUCCCUCCACCAGCA
rnacentral:tRNA from 1 species